rnacentral:rRNA from 1 species
GACGAACGCUGGCGGCGUGCCUAAUACAUGCAAGUUGAGCGCUGAAGGUUGGUACUUGUACCGACUGGAUGAGCAGCGAACGGGUGAGUAACGCGUGGGGAAUCUGCCUUUGAGCGGGGGACAACAUUUGGAAACGAAUGCUAAUACCGCAUAAAAACUUUAAACACAAGUUUUAAGUUUGAAAGAUGCAAUUGCAUCACUCAAAGAUGAUCCCGCGUUGUAUUAGCUAGUUGGUGAGGUAAAGGCUCACCAAGGCGAUGAUACAUAGCCGACCUGAGAGGGUGAUCGGCCACAUUGGGACUGAGACACGGCCCAAACUCCUUCGGGAGGCAGCAGUAGGGAAUCUUCGGCCAUGGACGAAAGUCUGACCGAGCAACGCCGCGUGAGUGAAGAAGGUUUUCGGAUCGUAAAACUCUGUUGGUAGAGAAGAACGUUGGUGAGAGUGGAAAGCUCAUCAAGUGACGGUAACUACCCAGAAAGGGACGGCUAACUACGUG